rnacentral:tRNA from 1 species
GGGGGUGUAGCUCAGUGGUUGAGCACUUGCCUAGCGUGCUCCAGCCCUGGGUUCAAUCCCCAGUACCUCAA